rnacentral:rRNA from 1 species
CCUACGGGGGGCUGCAGUGGGGAAUAUUGGACAAUGGGGGCAACCCUGAUCCAGCCAUGCCGCGUGUGUGAAGAAGGCCCUCGGGUUGUAAAGCACUUUCAGUGAGGAAGAACGCCUGGUGGUUAAUACCCAUCAGGAAAGACAUCACUCACAGAAGAAGCACCGGCUAACUCCGUGCCAGCAGCCGCGGUAAUACGGAGGGUGCGAGCGUUAAUCGGAAUUACUGGGCGUAAAGCGCGCGUAGGUGGCUUGAUAAGCCGGUUGUGAAAGCCCCGGGCUCAACCUGGGAACGGCAUCCGGAACUGUCAAGCUAGAGUGCAGGAGCGGAAAGUAGAAUUCCCGGUGUAGCGGUGAAAUGCGCAGAGAUCGGGAGGAAUACCAGUGGCGAAGGCGGCCUUCUGGACUGACACUGACACUGCGGUGCGAAGGCGUGGGUAGCAAACAGGAUUAGAUACCCCAGUAGUC